rnacentral:rRNA from 1 species
AGAGUUUGAUCCUGGCUCAGGAUGAACGCGAGCGGCAGGCCUAACACAUGCAAGCCGAAGGGUAGCAGGGUAGCAAUAUCGCUGACGACCGGCGCACGGGUGAGUAACGCGUAUGUAACCUACCUUUUACAGGGAGAUAGCCCGGAGAAAUUCGGAUUAAUACCCCAUAAGACUAUAGAUUGGCAUCAUGAAAUAGUUAAAGAAGCAAUUUGGUAAAAGAUGGGCAUGCGUGCCAUUAGCUAGUUGGUAGGGUAACGGCCUACCAAGGCGACGAUGGCUAGGGGGUCUAAAAGGAUGAUCCCCCACACUGGUACUGAGACACGGACCAGACUCCUACGGGAGGCAGCAGUGAGGAAUAUUGGUCAAUGGGUGCAAGCCUGAACCAGCCAUGCCGCGUGCAGGAUGACUGCCCUAUGGGUUGUAAACUGCUUUUAUACGGGAAGAACAGGCUCCACGUGAUGGGGAUUUGACGGUACCGUAGGAAUAAGCAUCGGCUAACUCCGUGCCAGCAGCCGCGGUAAUACGGAGGAUGCGAGCGUUAUCCGGAUUUAUUAGGUUUAAAGGGUGCGUAGGCGGAUAAGUAAGUCAGCGGUGAAAGCUUGUUGCUUAACAACAGAAUUGCCAUUGAUACUGCUAAUCUUGAGUACAAUUGAGGUAGGCGGAAUGUGUAAUGUAGCGGUGAAAUGCUUAGAUAUUACACAGAACACCGAUUGCGAAGGCAGCUUACUAAGCUGUAACUGACGCUGAGGCACGAAAGCGUGGGGAGCAAACAGGAUUAGAUACCCUGGUAGUCCACGCCGUAAACGAUGAUCACUCGCUGUUGGCGAUAUAUUGUCAGCGGCUGAGCGAAAGCAUUAAGUGAUCCACCUGGGGAGUACGGCGGCAACGCUGAAACUCAAAGGAAUUGACGGGGGCCCGCACAAGCGGAGGAACAUGUGGUUUAAUUCGAUGAUACGCGAGGAACCUUACCUGGGCUUAAAUGUAGAGCGACUGUUGUUGAAAGAUGACUUCCCGCAAGGGCGAUCUACAAGGUGCUGCAUGGCUGUCGUCAGCUCGUGCCGUGAGGUGUCGGGUUAAGUCCCAUAACGAGCGCAACCCCUAUUGCUAGUUGCCAGCGGGUAAUGCCGGGAACUCUAGUAAGACUGCCACCGUAAGGUGUGAGGAAGGUGGGGAUGACGUCAAGUCAGCACGGCCCUUACGUCCAGGGCUACACACGUGUUACAAUGGCCAGUACAGAGGGCUGCUACCUGGUGACAGGAUGCUAAUCUCAAAAGCUGGUCUUAGUUCGGAUUGAAGUCUGCAACUCGACUUCAUGAAGCUGGAUUCGCUAGUAAUCGCGUAUCAGCAAUGACGCGGUGAAUACGUUCCCGGGCCUUGUACACACCGCCCGUCAAGCCAUGGAAGCCGGGGGUACCUAAAGUCCGUGACCGCAAGGAGCGGCCUAGGGUAAAACUGGUGACUGGGGCUAAGUCGGAACAAGGUA